rnacentral:rRNA from 1 species
GGUUGAUCCUGCCAGUAGUCAUAUGCUCAUUUCGAAGACUAAGCCAUGCAUGUCUAAGUAUAAGUUGUUAUACAACGAAACUGCGAAUAGCUCAUUAAAACAAUUAUAGUCUAUGUGGACGUAAUUACUACACGGAUACCUGUGGUAAUUCUGGAGCUAAUACGUGACUCAACAUCCAUCUGGAUGUCACUUAUUAGAUUAGAAUCAACCUGCACGCAAGUGCAGAAGUCUGAUGAUCCAUAAUAAGGUCGUGAAUCGCAUGGUGUAAGCCGGCGAUAUUCCACCUGAGUUUU